rnacentral:piRNA from 1 species
UGUGUACGGCUCCUUUACCUG